AAAAAAAAAAAAAAAACCCAUCUGGAGAAAACUAAAAAGCUCAGUCUUUCCCCUGGGCCCAGAAUGCCCUUCUUCCCCUGCCCUAGGAAAGCCCAGUCACCUCUGAGGAGGCAGCAACAUCCUGGCUCCUCCCACUUGCUUUCAGUGCAUCCCCACGUCCAUUCUCUCAUGGAACCCUGUGCACAUCUCUAUCUGAGCACCCGUAAGACUGUGUUCUGCUAGCUCAUGUGUUCAUCAUCUCCGUGUUGACUGUAAACUUCACUUUGUACCUUGUCCCCCAGAAUCCAGCACCGAAUCUGGCACACUGAAUGAAUGAAUGAGUGAAUCAAAGAAUGAGUGGGCAAGUAAGUGAAUAAAUUAACGAGCUUCCCUGGAGUGAUGACAUAGAAUUGUUUCUUAAUUAUUUUAUAGGUUUCUCCUCUUUCCAGCUUCUAUAUCACAACAGGAUGAUUCUAAAGGGCCAUCCCAGCUUCAGAGUUCCCUGGGGGCUAGCUGAGGCUUUCACUGGGACUUCAUCAGUGCUCAGCUUCUUCAUCUGCCCCAUCCUGCUUCCAACUCAUUCUUUCCACAGGUGUUGAUCCGAAGCACAUUCCUCGUAAAUCUCCUGCAUACAAAUCUCCAUCUCAGAGCUAGCUUCUGGGAACCCUCAUGCUACAAGUCAUUAGGAACAUGGAUUUUGGACACUUCUAACAAGCCUGAGUUUUAGUCCUGGCUCUUGUACUUACUUGCACUGUAACCUAGAGAAAAAUUACCUAACUUCUCAGAGGCUUCAUCUGCAAUAGAAAUGAAUUCAUUGAGUCGUGGGAGUUCAAUGAAAUGUUGUUUGAAGCACAUUUAGCACAGCACCCGGUACACUGAUAAGUGCUCACUAAAGGAUUACUUGUAUCAUCAUCAAUAUUGCAUGGUCCAAGGCACAUGGCAAGGCUAUGGAACACACAGAAGCCAACUAGAUUGGCUACAAGGCCAGCCUCAAGAGAGGAAGAAACAGAUAUAUAUAAAAAAAUACAGGGGCGGAGGAGCCAAGAUGGCCGAAUAGGAACAGCUCCGGUCUACAGCUCCCAGCGUGAGCGACGCAGAAGACGGGUGAUUUCUGCAUUUCCAUCUGAGGUACUGGGUUCAUCUCACUAGGGAGUGCCAGACAGUGGGCGC
ensembl:lncRNA LINC02071 long intergenic non-protein coding RNA 2071